AACGAACGCUGGCGGCAGGCUUAACACAUGCAAGUCGAGCGCCCCGCAAGGGGAGCGGCAGACGGGUGAGUAACGCGUGGGAAUCUACCCAUCUCUACGGAAUAACGCAUGGAAACGUGUGCUAAUACCGUAUACGUCCUCCGGGAGAAAGAUCUAUCGGAGAUGGAUGAGCCCGCGUUGGAUUAGCUAGUUGGUGGGGUAAAGGCCUACUAAGGCGACGAUCCAUAGCUGGUCUGAGAGGAUGAUCAGCCACACUGGGACUGAGACACGGCCCAGACUCCUACGGGAGGCAGCAGUGGGGAAUAUUGGACAAUGGGCGCAAGCCUGAUCCAGCCAUGCCGCGUGAGUGAUGAAGGCCCUAGGGUUGUAAAGCUCUUUCACCGGUGAAGAUAAUGACGGUAACCGGAGAAGAAGCCCCGGCUAACUUCGUGCCAGCCGCCGCAGUAAUAC
rnacentral:rRNA from 1 species